AUACGGAAGGUCCGGGCGUUAUCCGGAUUUAUUGGGUUUAAAGGGAGCGCAGGCGGAGAUGCAAGCGUGACGUCAAAUUUCGGGGCUCAACCCCGUCUCGCGUCGCGAACUGCGUCCCUUGGUUGCGGGAAGGGGAGGCGGAACUCGUGGUGUAGCGGUGAAAUGCAUAGAAAUCAAGAAGAACUCCGAUCGCGAAGGCAGCCUUCCGGCCCGUCAACGACGCUCAUGCUCGAAGGUGCGGGUAUCAAACAGGAUUAUAUACCCUGGUAGUCCGCACAGUAAACGAUGGACACCCGCGGUUUGGCCUGUAUGGCUGAGCCGCCAAGCGAAAGCGUUAAGUUAUCCACCUGGGGAGUACGACCGCAAGGUUGAAACUCAAAUGAAUUGACGGGG
rnacentral:rRNA from 1 species